rnacentral:rRNA from 1 species
GCUGGCGGCAGGCCUAACACAUGCAAGUCGAGCGGUAGUACAGAGAGCUUGCUCUCGGGUGACGAGCGGCGGACGGGUGAGUAAUGUCUGGGAAACUGCCUGAUGGAGGGGGAUAACUACUGGAAACGGUAGCUAAUACCGCAUAACGUCGCAAGACCAAAGAGGGGGACCUUCGGGCCUCUUGCCAUCAGAUGUGCCCAGCUGGGAUUAGCUAGUAGGUGGGGUAAUGGCUCACCUAGGCGACGAUCCCUAGCUGGUCUGAGAGGAUGACCAGCCACACUGGAACUGAGACACGGUCCAGACUCCUACGGGAGGCAGCAGUGGGGAAUAUUGCACAAUGGGCGCAAGCCUGAUGCAGCCAUGCCGCGUGUAUGAAGAAGGCCUUCGGGUUGUAAAGUACUUUCAGCGAGGAGGAAGGCAUUGUGGUUAAUAACCGCAGUGAUUGACGUUACUCGCAGAAGAAGCACCGGCUAACUCCGUGCCAGCNGCCGCGGUAAUACGGAGGGUGCAAGCGUUAAUCGUAAUUACUGGGCGUAAAGCGCACGCAGGCGGUCUGUCAAGUCGGAUGUGAAAUCCCCGGGCUCAACCUGGGAACUGCAUUCGAAACUGGCAGGCUAGAGUCUUGUAGAGGGGGGUAGAAUUCCAGGCGUAGCGGUGAAAUGCGUAGAGAUCUGGAGGAAUACCGGUGGCGAAGGCGGCCCCCUGGACAAAGACUGACGCUCAGGUGCGAAAGCGUGGGGAGCAAGCAAGAUUAGAUACCCUGGUAGUCCACGCCGUAAACGAUGUCGACUUGGAG